GAUCAUGGCUCAGGAUGAACGCUGGCGGCGUGCUUAACACAUGCAAGUCGAACGGGAAACAUUUUAUUGAAGCUUCGGCAGAUUUAGAUUGUUUCUAGUGGCGGACGGGUGAGUAACGCGUGGGUAACCUGCCUUAUACCGGGGGAUAACAGCCAGAAAUGACUGCUAAUACCGCAUAAGCGCACAGAACCGCAUGGUUCCGUGUGAAAAACUCCGGUGGUAUAAGAUGGACCCGCGUUGGAUUAG
rnacentral:rRNA from 1 species